rnacentral:lncRNA from 1 species
AAAGAAUCUCAUUCAGCCUUUUUACCUAUGGCAGCCACUACUAGAAAAAUUACAUUGCAUCAAACUUUUUGACAGUUGCCCAUGCCCAGGAAGGACUGGACUGUCACCCAUGGGAGUGAGCUCCCCAUCUUUGGAGGUAUACAAAAGAAAUCAAGACAGAAUCGGAAAGGUCUGACGCAGAUCAGCCUGCCCACUCUUCAGUGUUUGGGUUGUUCAAGCCCAACUUCCUCCCUGGUCAGUGUGUAACAGUCUCUGGCCACAUGCUGUCUAAUGUUCUGGCUCUCCACUUCCUCUUUUUCUUUUGGGCCUGGCAUCCUUCCUCUAUCCUGGUCCCUCCCCCUUGGCGGCCUUCCCUGUGUCCUGGCUGCCUGUGGUUUCUUGUAUUACUGCUCUGAGCAAUAAUGACAGUGGGAGCGUCUGUGUCAGACUGUCUCCCCCGCCUCAGGAUGGGAGCUUGUUGAAGGCCAGACCCGGCAGAGGCCUCUCCAGGGCCUGGCCUUUGCAGGACAAGGCUGGGCAUCCAGGAAGUGCAUGAUAAAGACUCGUAGAAUGGAGGUGAAAAGCCCAUUCAUCUGCCAUUCGUUCAUUCAUUUAUUCCUUCACGUAUAUUUAUUGACUGGGUCAGGACUCGAACCCAGGACCUUCUGAAUGAAGUCCAUGAUCUUCCUCUGCCCAAAGCUGUGAGUUAUGAUUGUCGGUAUUAAUUGUAGCUGGCCAUAAAGGGCCCUGGGGUUUCAUGAUGUGUCUCCACCAGGGGGUCUGACUGGGGGCAGGGUCCCUCCUUAGGCCUCUGGGGGCUGAUGUUCUGAGUGUUCUGAAGCCCUGAUGUUUUCCUGCCCCAUAGCGUGCCCCAGCUGGGGCCCCUGGGCUGAGGAGUGUGGGGAGCAUCUCCUCAGAGAUGAAGAAGAAUCUGGGGAGCAUUUCUGAAAUCCCAGGCGUUGGAUUCAGGUCACCGUCCUCCUGCCUUCGUCCACCCCCAGCUCCAUGUCUGUUUCAAGGUCGCCAGUCCCCAGAGGGGUCAGACCAUGGCGUUUGUGGGGAAAAUGGAACCCUCGGCCCUCAGGACUGCCAGAUGCUCUCAUCUUCUUCACCUGACAAUUCUUUUCUCUUUUUAGCAUUUUUGUUGAGAUUAACAUAGGCAUGGUCAAGUUCACAAACGUCACAAGUAGAGGCUGAUGAGGGUGAUGACCUUCCAGUCUGGAUCUAGCACAUUCCCAGCCUCUGGCAGUUCUUGGACACUCCAGGUGAUUCUCCCGUCCCAAGGCGACCACUGCCCUGACCUCUGUUGCUGUAGGCAAUAAACCAAGAUUGCCCUGAUCGAUUUCUAUUCGUCGCCGCCGGCAUGAGGGUCACAACCAGGUCCAAGAGGAGGUCCAGCCUCAGAGCAUUGCCCUCGCCAUGACCUCUGCCAGGAAUGCCCUUCCUCCGCUUCCCACUGGGCCUGUCCUUCAGCAGGUCUUAUAGACUCAGCCUCCAGUGUGACCCUGAGCUCUUCCUGCACUCCCGCGGGCCCUGCCACCUCCUGCCUGGAUGCUGCCUUGGCCUCCUGCCACUUAUACUCCUGUCCUGGCCCUCCUUGCUCCCUGGGCAGCCUCAGAGGGAUUAUUAAAAUCUCCCAACCAGGUUUCUCCAUGGAACCCAACAAGCUGAG